GACGAACGCUGGCGGCGUGCCUAAUACAUGCAAGUAGAACGCACAGUUUAUACCGUAGCUUGCUACACCAUAGACUGUGAGUUGCGAACGGGUGAGUAACGCGUAGGUAACCUGCCUGGUAGCGGGGGAUAACUAUUGGAAACGAUAGCUAAUACCGCAUAAUAUUGAUUAUUGCAUGAUAAUUGAUUGAAAGAUGCUAUUGCAUCACUACCAGAUGGACCUGCGUUGUAUUAGCUAGUAGGUGAGGUAACGGCUCACCUAGGCGACGAUACAUAGCCGACCUGAGAGGGUGACCGGCCACACUGGGACUGAGACACGGCCCAGACUCCUACGGGAGGCAGCAGUAGGGAAUCUUCGGCAAUGGACGAAAGUCUGACCGAGCAACGCCGCGUGAGUGAAGAAGGUUGUCGGAUCGUAAAGCUCUGUUGUAAGAGAAGAACGGGUGUGAGAGUGGAAAGUUCACACUGUGACGGUAUCUUACCAGAAAGGGACGGCUAACUACGUG
rnacentral:rRNA from 1 species